rnacentral:rRNA from 1 species
AGAGUUUGAUCCUGGCUCAGGAUGAACGCUGGCGGCGUGCUUAACACAUGCAAGUCGAACGAAGCACCUUGAUUUGAUUCUUCGGAUGAAGAUCCUGGUGACUGAGUGGCGGACGGGUGAGUAACGCGUGGGUAACCUGCCUCAUACAGGGGGAUAACAGUUAGAAAUGACUGCUAAUACCGCAUAAGACCACAGCACCGCAUGGUGCAGGGGCAAAAACUCCGGUGGUAUGAGAUGGACCCGCGUCUGAUUAGGUAGUUGGUGGGGUAACGGCCUACCAAGCCGACGAUCAGUAGCCGACCUGAGAGGGUGACCGGCCACAUUGGGACUGAGACACGGCCCAAACUCCUACGGGAGGCAGCAGUGGGGAAUAUUGCACAAUGGGGGAAACCCUGAUGCAGCGACGCCGCGUGAGCGAUGAAGUAUUUCGGUAUGUAAAGCUCUAUCAGCAGGGAAGAAAAUGACGGUACCUGACUAAGAAGCACCGGCUAAAUACGUGCCAGCAGCCGCGGUAAUACGUAUGGUGCAAGCGUUAUCCGGAUUUACUGGGUGUAAAGGGAGCGUAGACGGUGAGGCAAGUCUGAUGUGAAAGGCAUGGGCUCAACCUGUGGACUGCAUUGGAAACUGUCAUACUUGAGUGCCGGAGGGGUAAGCGGAAUUCCUAGUGUAGCGGUGAAAUGCGUAGAUAUUAGGAGGAACACCAGUGGCGAAGGCGGCUUACUGGACGGUAACUGACGCUGAGGCUCGAAAGCGUGGGGAGCAAACAGGAUUAGAUACCCUGGUAGUCCACGCCGUAAACGAUG